rnacentral:rRNA from 1 species
UACGUAGGGUGCGAGCGUUAAUCGGAAUUACUGGGCGUAAAGCGUGCGCAGGCGGUUUUGUAAGCCAGAUGUGAAAUCCCCGGGCUUAACCUGGGAAUGGCAUUUGGGACUGCAAGGCUCGAGUGCGGCAGAGGAGACUGGAAUUCCUGGUGUAGCAGUGAAAUGCGUAGAUAUCAGGAGGAACACCGAUGGCGAAGGCAGGUCUCUGGGCCACUACUGACGCUGAGAAGCGAAAGCAUGGGGAGCGAACAGG